rnacentral:sRNA from 1 species
UCACAUGACAAUCUCAGGUUUCAGGAUGCUUGAUUUGAUCUCUUUGUGCGGGAGAAUAACACCGCCGUUGGUAUAGACCUCAUCACCUACAUGUACGUCCUCUCCUAGGAUAGUCAUAUUUUCUAUCCGUGCCCAUUGUCCAACAGUUGAGUGCCAUCCAAUAAUGCUGUUUGAUAUGCAAGCAUGCUUCUUAAUACGCACGCCACGCAUCACCGUGCAACGGGAAAGCCUCACACCAUCCUCCACGACGCAUCCAGGACCAAUAGCAACAUCAGGACCAAUCAGACAGCCUUCGCCAAUCUUCGCACUCUCGUGAACUAGCACAUUCCCAACAAUGUGUGCUCCAGUGGCUAACCUGUUGGCUGAUCUCUUCCUAAGUGAAUCCAGAUAAAGGCGCAAGCCUGUAAUGUAAUCCCUUGGUUGGCCAACAUCCAUCCAAAAACCUGGAAGGACCAUAGCAAAGAGCUUUGCAUCAGCUGAGAUUCGAGGAAAGACCUCUUUCUCAAUUGAAGUUGGCUUUAGCUCGAUGCGGUCCAGGACAGACGGGUUCAACAAGUAAAUUCCUGCAUUGAUCUUGUUGCCUACAAAUAUUUUUGGUUUCUCAACAAAUUUUUCCACCAUUCCAGUGGCCUCCUCCAUAACCACAACACCAUAUUUUGAUGGUUCGAUCUACCUUGGUGACCAUAAUUGUUGCCUCACCACCAUGGUUCUUGUGAAAUUUUAUGAGCUCAGCAAAAGGGUAUUCACUUAUGACGUCACUGUUGAGGACAAAGAAUGGCUCACCAGAUCCAUCCACAAGCUUGUCCCUUGCUAGAGCAAGAGGGCCAGCAGUUCCCAAGGGCUCAGUCUCUUGGGAACACGUGAUUGUGAUGCCAAGCUUAUCCUCAAAGUCCUUCAGGAAAUUGAGCAUUACCUCGGGCGGUAGUUGAUGGCUAAAACAACUUCUGUUACUCCAACUUCUUUCAAGGCCUCAAUCUGAUGCAGAAUCAUGGGCUUGUUCGCGAAAUCAACAAGAGGCUUUGGGAAACUGAGCGUUAAAGGCCGAAGGCGAGUGCCGAAGCCUCCAACCAGAAUGAGCGCCUUCAUGGUGAAUCGCCUCCU